GUGAAUCAUCGAAUCUUUGAACGCAAAUUGCACUCUCCGGUUUUCCGGGAGAGUAUGCCUGUUUGUGGGUCAGCCUAAAAAAAAAUCGACAUUGUUGCUGUUAUUUAAUUGUGACUUUCGUCGGAGAUUUGGUUAUCUUAAACCUUUUUUUUUUUGGUUUAAGCGUCUUAAAAUUUUUCUUUACGAUUCCAUGAACGUUUCUAUGAUUUUUAUUUCUUAUAUGUUUAAUGUUUAUCGAUUUUUUAUUAUACUGGACCUGUGCAUAGGAU
rnacentral:misc_RNA from 1 species